rnacentral:rRNA from 1 species
UACGUAGGCAGCAAGCGUUGUUCGGAGUUACUGGGCGUAAAGGGUGCGUAGGCGGUUGUUUAAGUUUGGUGUGAAAUCUCCCGGCUCAACUGGGGAGGGUCACGGGUAACGGCAGUGCUCUGAGUGCAGGAGAGGGAAGUGGAACUCCGGGAGUAGCGGUGAAAUGCGUAGAGACCCGGAGGAACACCGGUGGCGAAGGCGGCUUCCUGGUCUGCAACUGACGCUGUGGCGCGAAAGCUAGGGGAGCAAACGGG